rnacentral:rRNA from 1 species
AUACGGAGGGUGCAAGCGUUAAUCGGAAUUACUGGGCGUAAAGCGUACGUAGGCGGUUUAUUAAGUCAGAUGUGAAAGCCCCGGGCUUAACCUGGGAACUGCAUUUGAAACUAGUAGGCUAGAGUAUGGUAGAGGGGGGUAGAAUUCCUAGUGUAGCGGUGAAAUGCGUAGAUAUUAGGAGGAAUACCAGUGGCGAAGGCGGCCCCCUGGACCAAUACUGACGCUGAGGUACGAAAGCGUGGGGAGCGAACAGGAUUAGAAACCCUAGUAGUCC